UCAUCUGCAAAGUUCCACUGAGUUCCCUCCCUGCAAGGACUUCCACAGAGCCUGGCCGCCGUGUCUCCACUCCGCUCCGCUCCACCCUCUGCUCCAUCCCCCUUAGCAGGUGCUGUGGCUGCAGACUGUGGGUGUGAGGAAACACCAUAGAAUAGGUUUCGAGGCUGCCAACUACACUCCAUCCAGUCCCCAGUCUAAAGUUUUGUUCAAGAUGGGAAUACUUCAGCUGAGAAAUGUCAAAGCUGUGACCUCAAAACUCUGCAGUGCCAAGGGACAGUCUAGAAUCAACGUCCCACAGCCUGAGAGAUAGCCUCUAACACAGGAAUGAAUAUUAUGCAGCAUGCAACAGAGUUGUCACGAUGUUUAUGCAAAUAAUAGCAGUAUGAGGUGACAGAAAGAAGCAUGAGGAGACAAGAAGAGAUAAGAAAAGAACAAAGAUUCCUCUGUGCUCAUCCCAUAUACUAGAAAUUUUCUGUUUUUUGCUUUUGAAAUUUCUCUCAAGGUGAAUACAAAUUAGUGAACACAAAAGCAAUUAUUACUAAUAAAUAUUAAUAAACAAUACCAGGAUAGAUAUUAUGAAAAAAAUGUAUUCUAGUUCUCUAAGAAGCACCUGCAGAAAUAGAACAACUCCAUCACUUGUUUCAAUGUGAACAACUUGCCAGCCAAAGUAUCUGCAACUAAAAUUUAUCCUUUUUAGUGCACCAUGAUGUUAGCUCAAUGUUUUACUAGAGAGGAUGAAGAAAUUAAUCUAUUUUUGAUUUAUUUAGUUAAAGGUCAUAUUCAGUGUACCUCUUCCUCUGGUGAUAACCUCUGUCUAAUAUAUAGAUCUUAUUUUUAUCAUCUUCUAUUGAUAGGAUAAACACCAGCUUGUCCACUGACUAAAACUGACCAUGUGAACUCUCAGUUUCUGUAUAUCUCAAUUAGUUUUGCUGCUGGCAAAAUGUACUUUAAUUUUUAUUUUUCCACAGCCAGCAUUUCCUCCUUUUUCUCCAUAUAUCUUGGUGACGCUUCCAUGGUUUUUUUCUUAUUGGAAGAAAACAAAAAUUCAUUGAUUUCUUGGGGAGAGGAUGCAACAGGUUUUGCACAUAUUAGGUGCACCUGGCUCAGAUACAUACAACUCUUUUUAUAAUACCCACUAUCUCUUUUAAAGUCUGAGAUGUCAAAAAGAACACAUGAGCUAUUAUUUUUAUUUCUAAGUAUUUGAGAAGCACUCAUACACUACAGUGCAGAGAUCUACUUAAGUACCACAGCAUAGAGAUGAUCCCAUCAGCAUCUCCAACAAUUCAAGCCUCUCCCCCAGUGAUGAAUAAUAACACCAGUUAAAAACAGUACAUAAAAAUGAGAUUUAUUCUUUCCUCUAUGAUCAUGAUUAAAGGAGCAGGUUAUUUUUUCCUAAGACUAUUAGUUGUAUCCUUUCGCCUGCAAGUCACAUCUCUGAAGCAAUUACUUAUUGACAUAUAAGUCUAAAUCCUAAGUAUAUCUUCUAUUCAUACCCUCUGUGACCCUCCAGCAGCCUGCAGACUGCUACUGUGUUUUAAGUAAGUCUGACUCUGAAAAGAGGAAAUAAGUAAAUUCUUCUCUCCUUUGUCCACUGUACUAUGAUGUUUUUGUCUCUGUUGAAAUGUCUCAGCUACAUCUCAAAGCUGCAUGCCUCAUCCAUCUCAAAAGUAUUCACUUUUCUUUAAGAAGGUUGA